ACGCUGGCGGCAGCCUAACACAUGCAAGUCGAGCGGUAGAGAGAAGCUUGCUUCUCUUGAGAGCGGCGGACGGGUGAGUAAUGCCUAGGAAUCUGCCUGGUAGUGGGGGAUAACGUUCGGAAACGGACGCUAAUACCGCAUACGUCCUACGGGAGAAAGCAGGGGACCUUCGGGCCUUGCGCUAUCAGAUGAGCCUAGGUCGGAUUAGCUAGUUGGUGAGGUAAUGGCUCACCAAGGCGACGAUCCGUAACUGGUCUGAGAGGAUGAUCAGUCACACUGGAACUGAGACACGGUCCAGACUCCUACGGGAGGCAGCAGUGGGGAAUAUUGGACAAUGGGCGAAAGCCUGAUCCAGCCAUGCCGCGUGUGUGAAGAAGGUCUUCGGAUUGUAAAGCACUUUAAGUUGGGAGGAAGGGUUGUAGAUUAAUACUCUGCAAUUUUGACGUUACCGACAGAAUAAGCACCGGCUAACUCUGUGCCAGCAGCCGCGGUAAUACAGAGGGUGCAAGCGUUCAUCGGAAUUACUGGGCGUAAAGCGCGCGUAGGUGUUUUGUUAAGUUGGAUGUGAAAUCCCCGGGCUCAACUUGGGAACUGCAUUCAAAACUGACUGACUAGAGUAUGGUAGAGGGUGGUGGAAUUUCCUGUGUAGCGGUGAAAUGCGUAGAUAUAGGAAGGAACACCAGUGGCGCAGGCGACCACCUGGACUAAUACUGACACUG
rnacentral:rRNA from 1 species